GGUUGGAGGUGGGCCUGACAUCCUGAGUGUGUGUGGUGAACCUGAACUUGCCCUGGGUUUCCUCAGAUACAUUCAGGAGUGUCAGCUGCCUCUUCACU
rnacentral:miRNA from 14 species